CUGUUGUUGUUUGUGGGGGGGUAUUUGUUGGUUUUGGGGUUUUGGGGUUUUUUUGUUUGUUUGGGGGUUUUUUGUUUCAUUGUUUGAUUGGGGUUUUUUGCUUUGUUUUGGUUUGGUUUGGUUUUGGUUUUUUUUCCAUUAUUUUGUGGGUACUCUGUGGCUGACAAACUACUGAAGGAAAUCCCAAGGCUUAUAGCAGCGACAAAGGCUGACUGCAUAGAAGAGAGAAGCUGAAACACUGUAGCUGAAGGGAACCCCCUUGAAUUAACGCCUGUUCAUAGUACAUCCUUAGAGAUGAGGAAAGAUGUAACGAGGAGCUUUGAGCAGUUACUUGAGAUGUUGCAAUAGUAAGAAACUGAAUGUCCAUAAUUGAAAUGGCUGUAGAUGUAGCCAGGGCAGAUGGAAACAAGAUCGUUCAGCUUUCUGCGCACAGGAAGGGAACAGUAUUGCCUUCAACCCCAGCAGCUAGUAACAGAAAUUCAAACUGUGGCUGAGCAACGCGUGUUUUCAUGUCACAGGGGCUGCCAUGGCAGUAGCACACACUGCUGCUCUGGAGGGAAUGACAGCUUCCGAACCAUCCAGCGGGGACUGAGGGUCUCUCUUUUACACAGAGACAGUCCUGCUCCACCGGGAAGCCAACGAGCUGAACCUCAAGACAAAAUUAAAGAGCUCAGGUGCUGGAUCAGGACCUUAUUAAAAGUGAGCAGGUAUCUCCUGCUGCUACUUCUGCUGCCCUGUUGUUGUGGUUUUAUCUACUGCCACCCUUUGACUAUCUCAAGUAACCAAGCAUCAGCACUGGUGACAGCUGAUCAGGAAUUAGAGGGCUUCUUGCCAACGGCUUUACAGGAUGCAGAAGAACUGUAGGUAAAGGACACAGUUUAACAUUAGACAGCUCCAUGGCCGCUGGGCAGGAAAAGCACUGUCCCCCAGGGAGAGACACAGUCCGUGCCCACAGGAAAAGCACUGUCCCUCAGGGAGAGACACAGUCCGUGUCCACAGGAAAAGCACUGUCCCUCAGGGAGAGACACAGUCCGUGC